GACGAACGCUGGCGGCGUGCUUAACACAUGCAAGUCGAACGGGAAGAGAUGAAGAGCUUGCUCUUUAUCGAAUCCAGUGGCAAACGGGUGAGUAACACGUAAACAACCUGCCUUCAGGAUGGGGACAACAGACGGAAACGACUGCUAAUACCGAAUACGUUCCACGGGCCGCAUGACCUGUGGAAGAAAGGGUAGCCUCUACCUGUAAGCUAUCGCCUGAAGAGGGGUUUGCGUCUGAUUAGGCAGUUGGUGGGGUAACGGCCCACCAAACCAACGAUCAGUAGCCGGUCUGAGAGGAUGAACGGCCACACUGGAACUGAGACACGGUCCAGACUCCUACGGGAGGCAGCAGUGGGGAAUCCUCCGCAAUGGACGAAAGUCUGACGGAGCGACGCCGCGUGAGUGAAGACGGCCUUCGGGUUGUAAAGCUCUGUGAUCCGGGACGAAAGAGCCUGAGGUGAAUAGCCUAAGGAAGUGACGGUACCGGAAAAGCAAGCCACGGCUAACUUCGUGCCAGCAGCCGCGGUAAUACGUAGGUGGCAAGCGUUGUCCGGAAUUAUUGGGCGUAAAGCGCGCGCAGGCGGCUUCCUAAGUCCAUCUUAAAAGUGCGGGGCUUAACCCCGUGAUGGGAUGGAAACUGGGAAGCUGGAGUAUCGGAGAGGAAAGUGGAAUUCCUAGUGUAGCGGUGAAAUGCGUAGAGAUUAGGAAGAACACCGGUGGCGAAGGCGACUUUCUGGACGAAAACUGACGCUGAGGCGCGAAAGCGUGGGGAGCAAACAGGAUUAGAUACCCUGGUAGUCCAUGCCGUAAACGGUGGGCGCUAGGUGUGGGUUUCCUUCCACGGGAUCCGUGCCGUAGCUAACGCAUUAAGCGCCCCGCCUGGGGAGUACGGCCGCAAGGCUAAAACUCAAAGGAAUUGACGGGGGCCCGCACAAGCGGCGGAGCAUGUGGAUUAAUUCGAUGCAACGCGAAGAACCUUACCUGGGCUUGACAUAUACAGGAUCGCGCCAGAGAUGGUGUUUCCCUUGUGGCUUGUAUACAGGUGGUGCAUGGUUGUCGUCAGCUCGUGUCGUGAGAUGUUGGGUUAAGUCCCGCAACGAGCGCAACCCUUGUCUUAUGUUGCCAGCACGUUGUGGUGGGGACUCGUAAGAAACUGCCGGGGUUAACUCGGAGGAAGGUGGGGAUGACGUCAAAUCAUCAUGCCCCUUAUGUCCAGGGCUUCACACAUGCUGCAAUGGUCGGUACAGUGGGUUGCCAGUCCGUGAGGGCGAGCUAAUCCCGUAAAGCCGGUCUCAGUUCGGAUCGGGGUCUGCAACUCGACCCCGUGAAGUCGGAGUCGCUAGUAAUCGCAGAUCAGCAACGCUGCGGUGAAUACGUUCCCGGGCCU
rnacentral:rRNA from 1 species